rnacentral:misc_RNA from 1 species
AAGUCGUAACAAGGUAUCCGUAGGUGAACCUGCGGAUGGAUCAUUAACACUACAAAAAAACAAAACCUUGCUUUCCUAAAAACAAAGCAUAACCCCAUAACUUUGCGAACUUGUCAACGGGGAGGGAGGAGGAAGCAAUUUCUCCACCUCUCUUCCGUUCGUUUUUCUCCCUUUUUCACCGUUAUUUAUUAAACCCCAAAACAAAAACAACAAACAAAACUUGACUAAGACAAAAAACAAAUGAGAAAACAAAAUAAUACAACUUUUAACGACGGAUAUCUUGGCUCUC